rnacentral:lncRNA from 1 species
UGACCUGAGACCGCCACGGUGACUUGCAAGCAACUCACUGCACUUAGGUACUGGACUAUCUGAAUUUCUAAUUCAGUGACGGAAGGCUACUGGGUGUAGUCAAGUACUUGACUUGUCGGUGCGUGUGUCAAGAUGGGAUUGACCACUCCAGUUUAGGAGCUAUGUAUAGUCAUGUUUUAAUUUAGCAAAACCAUGGCCAGGGUAGUCCUAGUGAGGAGU